rnacentral:rRNA from 1 species
CGGGUAGCGGAACACGUACGCAACCUUCCUUUAACUGGAGAAUAGCCCCUCGAAAGAGGGAUUAAUACUUCGUAACAUAUUGAUAAGGCAUCUUAUUAAUAUUAUAGCUCCGGCGGUUAAAGAUGGGCGUGCGCCUGAUUAGAUAGUUGGCGGGGUAACGGCCCACCAAGUCAGCGAUCAGUAACUGGUGUGAGAGCACGACCAGUCACACGGGCACUGAGACACGGGCCCG